rnacentral:lncRNA from 1 species
UAGAGGUUGGGUGAGAAAGGGAUCUUUUGCAUCUUUAUCAAGCAGGUACAAUACCCGCAAGGCUUAGAAGGUGAGGGUGAGAAAAAAAUUCGUAUAAAAGGAGAGAGAAAAGGAUACAGACAUCAGUUGGGUGAGCAUCACCGACACGGCAACAACUCCUGUGGACUGCCUGUACCAACUGGCUUCUUCAUCGCAUUAUUACCAGCUCGAAACAAUUGGUAAACAUUCCGUUUCUCUACAUAGUUUUGUAUUACUAAGUCUAUUAUUGACUAUGGGUUAAUAUGCCAUUCACUGUUUGUCUAUUUAACUAUGGCGUCGUGUUGCUGUUGGGUGUUGUAUCGUUGAUGGCUGGGUCGACCACUGGUGUACCGAUGUUUCCUUCGCCAACCCCAUCACCAAUUGGAUUGUUCAUCGAUAAACAAGUUCGCAGCAGUCAUGGUCAACUAUAAUGUCGUGCUGCUGUCGGAUGUUGUAUCGUUGAUGGCUGGGUCGACCACUAGUGUACCAAUUUCUUUUGGGUACGGAUACCAAACCGCAAUGCCGACGCCCUACUACACAACAGCAUACGUUUCAGCCGGUUAUUACACCAUCAAGGCUCCAGGGAAUUACACCACAACUUAUGAUGCCCCGACCUACUACACCGACGUCCUGAAUUGUAGAUAUCCUUCAGUUGCUGCAAGCAUUAACUGGCUUCGUGAUGCUGUUGAAUGUUGUAUCGUUUCUGGCUGAGUCGACCACUGGUCCCUGGGUAUGGCGGAUACGAAGCCGCAACGCUGCUGUCUUACUACACAACAACAUACGUAACUACCUGUUACUACACCGGAACUUCCAAGUACUACACCGAAAAGGCUGAAUAUUACACAAGGACGUAUGCUACCCCAGUUUACUACACCGAGGAACCUAAGCAGCUCCUGUUUACUACACCACCAACGCAUCUGAAUGGUACAUGAUAAUCUACGCUGCCCCCAACUACUAACCUGGAGCUUCGAAGUGCAACACCACCGAUGCACAAACAAUUUUCAAGCAAGGAGUUAUUUGGCGACCUGAUGCUGUUGAAUCUUGUAUCUUGGAUGUAUAUGACCGUUGUAGUGAUGUUUCCUGGGUAUGGCGGAUAUCAAAUCGCAACGCUACCGUCUUAUUACUCAACAACUUACUCAGCGACCUGUUACUACACCGGGACUUCCACUUACUACACUGAAAAGGCUGAAUAUUACACAAGGACGUAUGCUACCCCAGGCCCAGUUUACUACACCGAGGAACCUAAGCAUUACUCUCCUCCGAGGUAUCACCAAACAGAGGCUCCUGUUAACUACACCACCAACGCAUCUGAACUACUACACUGGAGCUACGAAGUGCAACACCAUCAAUGUACAACCAAUUUGCAAGAAAGGAGUUAUUUGGUGACGUGUUGCUGUUGAAUCUUAUGACCGUUGUGAUGUUUCUUGGGUAUGGUGGAUAUUAUAUCGCAACGCUUCUGUCUUACUACGCCAAAACUUACUCAACGACCUGUUACUACACCGGGAUUUCCAAAUACUACACCGAAAAGGUUGAAUAUUUCACAUGGACGAGGACAAGGCGUCUAUCCCAGUUUACUACACCGAGAAACCUAAACAUUACUGUGCUUCGAACUACAACAUAGGCUCCUGUUUACUAUGCGACCAUCGCUCCCGAGUGUUAUACGCUGUCCCCAACCGCUACACUGAAGCUCCGAAGUACUACACCCAUUGAAGGAAAACUAAUUCGCAUUCAAAGAUUAUUAUGGUGUUGUGCUGUUGUUGGAUGUUGUAUCGUUGAAGGCUGGGUCGACCACGAGUGUAACGAUGUCUCCUGGGUAUGGUGGUAUUUCAGUACUAGCAGCUAUAGAAUGGUAUACCACGUUGCUGCCUUACUACUUAACAACAACAUCAACAUACGUAACACCUACUUACUACACUGAUGCUCGUAAAUACCACAUCUCCAAGGCUCCAAGAAUAUACUGUACACGAUUAUCUACGCUGCUCCGAGCUACUGCACGGAAGUAUCACUCUACCCCAAGUUACAUCAACAAAACGUCUGAAUACUUACUAUACUGAUGCUUGAUGGUAUAUUGAUGGUACCGGAAAACUACACUACGCAUACUACCCCUGGCUACUACACCGGGGUCCUUAAUUACUACAACACCCGGCAACAAUUGAACUCUACCAAUUCUCAAUGAAAGUUAACUUUGGCUUCGGGCUGCUGUUGAGUGUUGAUGGCUGAGUCGACCACUGGUGUAUUGCUGUUCCCUGUGUAUGGUGCUUAGUCAACCGCAACGCGACUAUCUUGCUACACAACAAUAUACGCAAUGACCAGUUACUACUCCGGGAUUCUCUAUUACUACACCGAAAAGGCCGAAAAUUACGCAUCCACGGACUACACCGAGGAGUUCAAUUGCUACUGUACUCCGAGAAAGGGGAGAAGUUGCUGUUUACUACAACAUCAACGUCCCCGAAUGUUAAAUUUCAACCUACGCUGCCUACAACUUCACUGAAGCUUCGAAGUACUACACCAUCAAGUCACAUCAAAUCUGCAAUCUUUACUACUCCGAGGAAUUCAAGUACUACUGUGCUCCGAGAAACGACAGGUUGCUGUUUACUACACCAUCAACACCCCCGAAUGACAACCUUCGCUGCCCACAACUUCACUGAAGCUCCGUAGGACUACACCAUCAAGUAACCAAAUCAAAAGUAAAUAUGUUGUGUUAAUUUUGUUUCUUUGUUAUCUGUCUUUAUCUUUUUCUUUAGCUAUUCUAUUUGUCUUUAUCUUCUUCUUUAACUAUUCUGUCUUUAUUUUUUUCUGUAACUAUUUUUUUGUUUUUAAAACCUUCAAUAAUCCUACAACAAUAACCCCGGUAACAAUUUUGCCAUAAACUAUACAUCAUACUCCAUAACCCUACUUUUUAAAACCUAUUCACUUAUAAAAAAUUAAAAAAAUCAUUG